UACGAAGGGGGCAAGCGUUGUUCGGAAUUACUGGGCGUAAAGCGCACGUAGGCGGAUUGUUAAGUCGGGGGUGAAAUCCUGGAGCUCAACUCCAGAACUGCCUUCGAUACUGGCGAUCUCGAGUUCGGGAGAGGUGAGUGGAACUGCGAGUGUAGAGGUGAAAUUCGUAGAUAUUCGCAAGAACACCAGUGGCGAAGGCGGCUCACUGGCCCGGUACUGACGCUGAGGUGCGAAAGCGUGGGGAGCCAACAGGG
rnacentral:rRNA from 1 species